GCUCUGAUUUUAAAUUUUGAAUUCCCCAAUAUAGCACCUGCCGCUUUUAUCUUCUACUCAUCUACCCAGGGGUUUUCUUCAUUCUACACAAAUAGAGAGAUCAGAGAUCGAUACAGAAAUAGAGCAGGUCAACAUCUUCCUGUUAGUCAAAGCAACGCCGCGGGAGAGGUGACUGUAACUUCCGAUAACCUUUGCCGUCAAAAACCACUGCCAUCACAAUUUUGGGGGUCAUAAUCUUUUCAAAAACCAUUCAUCUCUCUCUCUUUCACCUCAAAGAUACAAAUCAAGAUCUAGGAGGCAAUCAGAAUAACAAUUUGAUUCAGUUGCUAGCUGAUUCGUCUGAUUCUUUCUCAUCAGUCUGAUUACGAUAGGCGGAAAUUAUCAACAGAUCCCUUCAUAGAAAGGAAAAUGGAGUUUUUGAUUGAAAGCAUGGAUGAUCUCUCAAUGGAAGAUUAAAAGUUCUAUUUUUUCUAUCACAGUCUGUCACGUCAACAAGCUCAGCAGCAAACAUGGCUUCAAAAGUGAAGGGCUGAAAUAAUGGCCCAUGUUAAGCAUAGAAGUUGGGGGGUAUUGGUACUGGAGAUAUUAGAAGUGCUAAUCUUACGUUGCUAGCAAAAUGGAUGUGGAACCUUAAAGACAGGCCUACGACUUUAUGGGUUAAGGUGGUGGUUCCGAUCAAUGAUAGUUCAAGAGUGGUUGGGCAAUUCCCCCUGAAAAAAACGGUAUUUGUGAGAUGUGGAAAGACAUCUGCUCUGUUGAGAAAGAGUUUUAUGCUUUGAGCCUUCCAAUUGGGGACGGGGUAAAACUAUGUUUUGGAUGGAUAACUGGGUCGAGGGAGGUCCCUUGUGGAUGGAUAACUGGGUCUGGUCUUAGGAAUGGAAAACGAGUUCAGGUUCCGAAGCCUUCUGGUCACAGUUUGACACACUAGCAGCUUGUCUUGGGGCUGUGCAGAUCAAAGACGGGGCAAACAGAUGGACUUGGGGGUCUUAGUCUGAUGUAAACUUCACGAUGGCGGGUGUCUGAGCAGACAUUGUCAAAGCAGUGAACUUGGAUCCAGCUGAGGGAUGGGGAUCGUGGAACAAGUGGGCGCCUGCAAAGCUGAAUUUCUUUAUGUGGCGCGCCUUCGCUGACAGAACCCGGUCAAAACGACUCCGAGGCGAAGGGGCGUUACGCUUUCGGAUACCCUUUGUCGCUUAUGCAGGUUCAAAGAAGAAAGUGCGACCAUAUUUCUUGCCUCUUGCGUUCUCUCUCGCGCUAUUUGGUGGAAUGUUAUGGUCAGACCAGAAUCCCUUUUCCCUCAGGUCAGUUUUCUUUAUAGGGUGUGGGGUUUGUUUGAUAAGCUCGUAGGGUAAAAGAUGUGGAAGAAAGUAGUGGGCGUGAUCCUCUUAACAACGGUUUGAAUUUGGUAACAAGAAAUGAGAAAGCGUUUCGCAACAAAAGGUUCAAGGUCUCGGAAGUGGUUGAAAGCAUAAAGGAAUACUCUUUUCUGUCGUUAGGGUGCAGGGCCUCUUUUAAAUCGCUGGACUGGAGUAAAUGGGGUGUCUUAACGUACGCGCUGUAAUAUGAUGUCCUCUUUUAUGUUCUGUUUUGAACUGUAUGUUUGUUCGGGUGCCCAACGGCUAGCUGCCCCAGUGUUCUAUUGAUUUAAUAGAAUGUGGUUGUUCAAAAAAAAAAAAAAAAAAAAAAAAAAA